UGCUGUAGCUGGUUUGGAUUGGCAGAAACUCAUGGAUAUUUUUUUUCUCUCUGCGGUUUGGUAUUCACAGCAGUGUCAGCCCUGGAGAUACCCUGGGUGGUGCUGAGUGCUGGGGAGAUCCUGCAGACCUGCUGCAGAGACCAGACUGAUAAAGUCUCCAGGCCUCUUGGUGAGGUGGAUCGUGAUGGGACAGUGCCUUUUUGCAAAAGCAGGGUCAGACAGAGAGCAGGAAGCUUUCCUCAUGGCUUCGUGUGAUGCAAUACCCCAGAUGGUGUUUGUACUGAGACCAAAAAAGUGAAUAUGGACCCCUUGGAGUCUGAUAUGAGGGAAUUUGUCAGCAGAUAACAGCUAAAGUUGUGCAUUAGAGGAAGACACUAGGAGAGAAUGAUUACAAACAAGACUCUGAGGUAACCC
rnacentral:lncRNA from 1 species